AAUACGGUUCAUGUUUGACGGUACCUAGAAAGGAAGCCCCGGCUAACUCUGUGCCAGCAGCCGCGGUAAUACAGAGGGGGGAAGCGUUAUUCGGAAUAAUUGGGCGUAAAAGGUGCGUAGGCGGUUUUUUAAGUCAGAUGUGUAAUCCCCGAGCUCAACUUGGGAACUGCAUCUGAAACUGGAAGACU
rnacentral:rRNA from 1 species